rnacentral:rRNA from 1 species
GUGCCUUCGGGAGCUCUGAGACAGGUGCUGCAUGGCUGUCGUCAGCUCGUGUUGUGAAAUGUUGGGUUAAGUCCCGCAACGAGCGCAACCCUUAUCCUUGUUUGCCAGCACUUCGGGUGGGAACUCCAGGGAGACUGCCGGUGAUAAACCGGAGGAAGGUGGGGACGACGUCAAGUCAUCAUGGCCCUUACGAGUAGGGCUACACACGUGCUACAAUGGCGCAUACAGAGGGCAGCCAACUUGCGAAAGUGAGCGAAUCCCAAAAAGUGCGUCGUAGUCCGGAUUGGAGUCUGCAACUCGACUCCAUGAAGUCGGAAUCGCUAGUAAUCGUGGAUCAGAAUGCCACGGUGAAUACGUUCCCGGGCCUUGUACACACCGCCCGUCACACCAUGGGAGUGGGCUGCAAAAGAAGUGGGUAGUUUAACCUUCGGGGGGACGCUCACCACUUUGUGGUUCAUGACUGGGGUGAAGUCGUAACAAGGUAGCGCUAGGGGAACCUGGCGCUGGAUCACCUCCUUA